rnacentral:ncRNA from 1 species
UAUAAGUAUACAAAGAAACUAUUAUGGAAAUCUGGCUAUGUAUUAAAGGGCAUGACUUUUAUUGAUCCCAUUUUUUACACGCUAAAUUGCGUAAUAUUCAAUUUAAACCCUAGAAGAAAUUCAAUAAUAAACGAAGUGAAUUGAAACAUCUUAGUAACUUCAGGAAAAGAAAUCAAAAGAGAUUCUAUGAUUAGCGUGAGUGAAAAUAGAGGAGCCUAGAUAAAAAAUUAAGUAAAAUGGUUUAAAAACUGUUUGAAUUAAGCCCACUGUCCCCCUUCCCAGGGGGAAUGCUAGUGGGCUUGGGGAACCUUCCUCAAAGGCUAAAUAUAAUACAUAAGCGAUAGUGAACAAGUAUCAUGAGAGAAGGAUUAGAAUUAGUAGUUUUAUAAGCAGUUCGAGCAAAAUAAAUAAGUGAGAACGUACCUUUUGCAUAAUGGGUCACCUAGUUAACAUUAGAUGCGAGUGAAAGCGUAGGUAAACCAAUCGUUAAAAUAACGAAUAGUGUCUAAAGUUAGACCCGAAGCCUGGUGAUUUUACCAUAAUCAGGAUUAUAAAAGUCCGAACGGGUUAUCGUUGUAAAGAUAUCCGAAGAAUUAUGGUAGGUAGUGAAAGACAACACUGACUAGGAUAGCUGGUUUUCUGCGAAACCUAUAACAGUAGGCAAUUUGAGUAACAUCUUAGCAGGUACAGAAUUUAAUCUCAGACAAGAUGUUUAAAUUUUAGUGGUGGCUGCGCGGUCUUACCGCUAAAGCUCGCCAUUAAAACAACAUGUUGAUUUGUAUAUAUCGGGGGAUCGUGAAGAUUUUAUCGGUGAGUAUGUAGACUCGGAAUGGCAAAGAUGGAUCUUUAAUUAUCGGACAUAGAAUGAUAAGGUUGUAUGUCAAAAGGGAAACAGCCCAGAACAAGAGUUAAGGUUCCAAAAUUAUUAGUUAAGUGAAAUUAAGAAAGUUUUUAUUAAAGUCGACAAGGAGAUGGGCUUAGAAGCAGCCAAAUUUUGAAGACCUCGUAACAGAGCGCUUGUUAAGUUUUAAAAGCAUCGAAAAUUUAACGGAUCUAAACAAUAUACCGAAACCUUGUCCAUAUUUUACUAUUGGCUAAGUAUAAGAUAGAUAGUAAUUUUGUGGGGUAGCAGAACGUU